rnacentral:rRNA from 1 species
AACGUAGGACACAAGCGUUAUCCGGAGUUACUGGGCGUAAAGGGCGUGUAGGCGGAUCGGUAAGUCUACUCUGAAAGCCCCCGGCUCAACUGGGGAGGGUCAUUCGAUACUGAUCGACUCGAAGGCAGGAGAGGGAAGUGGAAUUCCCGGUGUAGUGGUGAAAUGCGUAGAUAUCGGGAGGAACACCAGUGGCGAAGGCGACUUCCUGGCCUGUUCUUGACGCUGAGGCGCGAAAGCUAGGGGAGCAAACGGG